rnacentral:rRNA from 1 species
AGAGUUUGAUCCUGGCUCAGGACGAACGCUGGCGGUGUGCUUAACACAUGCAAGUCGAACGGUAAGGCCCUUUCGGGGGUACACGAGUGGCGAACGGGUGAGUAACACGUGAGUAACCUGCCCUCAUCUCUGGGAUAACAGUCGGAAACGGUUGCUAAUACUGGAUAUGAGCUUGCAAGGCAUCUUGUGGGUUGGAAAGAUAUUUUUUGGUUGGGGAUGGACUCGCGGCCUAUCAGCUUGUUGGUGAGGUAGUGGCUCACCAAGGCUUCGACGGGUAGCCGGCCUGAGAGGGCGACCGGCCACAUUGGGACUGAGAUACGGCCCAAACUCCUACGGGAGGCAGCAGUGGGGAAUAUUGCACAAUGGACGGAAGUCUGAUGCAGCAACGCCGCGUGCGGGAUGACGGCCUUCGGGUUGUAAACCGCUUUCAAUUGUGACGAAGCUUUUUGUGACGGUAGCAGUAGAAGAAGCACCGGCUAACUACGUGCCAGCAGCCGCGGUGAUACGUAGGGUGCGAGCGUUGUCCGGAUUUAUUGGGCGUAAAGAGCUUGUAGGCGGUUUGUCGCGUCGGGAGUGAAAACUUGGGGCUUAACCCUGAGCUUGCUUUCGAUACGGGCUGACUUGAGGGAGGUAGGGGAGAAUGGAAUUCCUGGUGGAGCGGUGGAAUGCGCAGAUAUCAGGAGGAACACCGGUGGCGAAGGCGGUUCUCUGGACCUUUCCUGACGCUGAGAAGCGAAAGCGUGGGGAGCGAACAGGCUUAGAUACCCUGGUAGUCCACGCCGUAAACGGUGGGUACUAGGUGUGGGGGACAUUCCACGUUCUCCGUGCCGUAGCUAACGCAUUAAGUACCCCGCCUGGGGAGUACGGCCGCAAGGCUAAAACUCAAAGGAAUUGACGGGGACCCGCACAAGCGGUGGAUGAUGUGGAUUAA